UACGGGGGGGCAAGCGUUGUUCGGAAUUACUGGGCGUAAAGGGCUCGUAGGCGGCCAACUAAGUCCGACGUGAAAUCCCCAGGCUCAACCUGGGAACUGCAUCCGAUACUGGAUGGCUUGAAUCCGGGAGAGGGAUGCAGAAUUCCAGGUGUAGCGGUGAAAUGCGUAGAGUAUCUGGAGGAAUACCGGUGGCGAAGGCGGCAUCCUGGACCGGCAUUGACGCUGAGGAGCGAAAGCCAGGGGAGCAAAGCGGG
rnacentral:rRNA from 1 species